rnacentral:rRNA from 1 species
UACGAAGGGGGCUAGCGUUGCUCGGAAUCACUGGGCGUAAAGCGCACGUAGGCGGCUUCUUAAGUCAGGGGUGAAAGCCUGGAGCUCAACUCCAGAACUGCCAUUGAAACUGUUAGACUUGAGUACGAGAGAGGUGAGUGGAAUUCCCAGUGUAGAGGUGAAAUUCGUAGAUAUUGGGAAGAACACCAGUGGCGAAGGCGGCUCACUGGCUCGUAACUGACGCUCAGGCGCGACAGCGUGGGGAUCAAACAGG